CUAAGAAUAUUCCGCAAUGGACGGAAGUCUGACGGAGCGACGCCGCGUGGAUGACGAAGGCCGAAAGGUUGUAAAGUUCUUUUGCUGGGGAAGAAUAACCGCAGGAGGGAAUGCCUGUGGGAUGACAAGAACCGGCGAAUAAGCCCCGGCCAACUACGUGCCAGCAGCCGCGGUAACACGUAGGGGGCGAGCGUUGUUCGGAAUUACUGGGCGUAAAGGGCAUGUAGGCGGCUUGGAAAGCCUGGCGUGAAAGUCUGCAGCUUAACUGCAGGGGUGCGCUGGGAACUGCUGAGCCUGAGUGACGGAGAGGGAGCUGGAAUUCCUGGUGUAGGGGUGAAAUCUGUAGAUAUCAGGAAGAACACCGAUGGCGAAGGCAAGCUCCUGGCCGAUGACUGACGCUGAGGUGCGAAAGUGUGGGGAUCAAACAGGAUUAGAUACCCUGGUAGUCCACACAGUCAACGAUGUGCACUAGGUGCUGGGGCGGUAGCUUCGGUGCCGGAGCGAACGUGGUAAGUGCACCGCCUGGGGAGUAUGCUCGCAAGGGUGAAACUCAAAUGAAUUGACGGGGGUCAUAGCUGUUUCCU
rnacentral:rRNA from 1 species